UAUAAUCCCGCCCCUGCAGGUGUCCGGCGUGCCCCAAGCGCGCCGGGUGAAACUGGGAAGCCGGUGCAAUUCCGGUGCUGCCCCCGCAACGGUAAGGUCUGGGCGCGCAUGGCGCGCCCCAGGUGCAACACUCGCCACUGUCCCGCAGGGACGGGAAGGCGUUGCCCCGCAUGACCAAGCCCGGAGACCGGCCUGCAACAGACGCGGCGGA
rnacentral:ncRNA from 12 species